rnacentral:rRNA from 1 species
GACGUAGGGCGCGAGCGUUGUCCGGAUUUAUUGGGCGUAAAGAGCUCGUAGGCGGCUUGUCGCGUCGACUGUGAAAUCCCGCGGCUCAACCGCGGGUCUGCAGUCGAUACGGGCAGGCUAGAGUUCGGUAGGGGAGACUGGAAUUCCUGGUGUAGCGGUGAAAUGCGCAGAUAUCAGGAGGAACACCGAUGGCGAAGGCAGGUCUCUGGGCCGAUACUGACGCUGAGGAGCGAAAAGCGUGGGGGAGCGAACAGG